CUUCGGGUUAGUGGCGGACGGGUGAGUAACGCGUGGGAAUCUGCCCUCAGGAGGGGGAUAACGGCUGGAAACGGCCGCUAAUACCCCAUAUGCCGAGAGGUGAAAUGAAUUUCGCCUGAGGAUGAGCCCGCGUCUGAUUAGCUAGUUGGUGAGGUAAGAGCUCACCAAGGCAUCGAUCAGUAGCUGGUCUGAGAGGAUGAUCAGCCACACUGGGACUGAGACACGGCCCAGACUCCUACGGGAGGCAGCAGUGGGGAAUUUUCCGCAAUGGGCGAAAGCCUGACGGAGCAACGCCGCGUGAGGGAUGAAGGCCUCUGGGCUGUAAACCUCUUUUCUCAAGGAAGAAGAUCUGACGGUACUUGAGGAAUAAGCCACGGCUAAUUCCGUGCCAGCAGCCGCGGUAAUACGGGAGUGGCAAGCGUUAUCCGGAAUUAUUGGGCGUAAAGCGUCCGC
rnacentral:rRNA from 1 species